rfam:Triticum urartu cultivar G1812 contig324520, whole genome shotgun sequence.
CUAGUACUCCCUCUGUCCGGAAAUACUUAUUGCAUAACUGGAUAAAAAUGGAUGUAACUAGACCUAAAAUAUGUCUAGAUACAUUCAUUUCGCUGAUAAGUAUUUCCAGUUUGAGAGAGUAUUUU